AGCAGCCGCGGUAAUUCCAGCUCCAAUAGCGUAUAUUAAAGUUGUUGCAGUUAAAAGCUCGUAGUUGAAUUUCGGGACCAAUCUGCCGGUCGUGCCUCCGGUACGCACUGGUUUUAUUGGUUUCUCCCUUCUGACGAACCAUGAUGUCAUUAAUUUGGUGUCAUGGGGAAUCAGGACUGUUACUUUGAAAAAAUUAGAGUGUUUAUAGCAGGCCCACGCUUGAAUACAUUAGCAUGGAAUAAUGAAAUAGGACGUUUGACCCUAUUUUGUUGGUUUCUAGGAUCGACGUAAUGAUUAAUAGGGAUAGUUGGGGGCAUUAGUAUUCAAUUGUCAGAGGUGAAAUUCUUGGAUUUAUUGAAGACUAACUACUGCGAAAGCAUUUGCCAAGGAUGUUUUCAUUAAUCAAGAACGAAAGUUAGGGGAUCGAAGACGAUCAGAUACCGUCGUAGUCUUAACCAUAAACUAUGCCGACUAGGGAUCGGAUGAUGUUAAUUUUUUUCAAUGACUCAUUCGGCGCCUU
rnacentral:rRNA from 1 species